CGCGAUCGUGGCAGGCGAGGACGGGCUGGGGACUAAUCCCUGUCAACCGCGACGGUAACAGCACUAAGAGCGGACCUUGAGAAAAGCCGUAUAGAUCCUCUGAUAAUUCUGCUCUGAUGGCGAAUGUGCGUCACGAGGUAGAGUGGGCUCGCAGGCUUGUUACAUAAAUCGGGCUUAGCUGCCCACCUGUGAUGCUAUUAUUCUUAAUAUUUUUGCUCAAUACGAUCACGAAGAGUUGCUUCGAGAGCCAAACGACAAAAGGUUGGCCUCUUCGCACUCACACUUAUGGCGAGGGAUCGACUGAUCCGCGCCGGGCCUUAUCGCACGAGGCCCUAUCCUGGAUGCGUAGCGUUCAUCCGACUAACGACAGAUGAAUAGCAAAUGAACAUCCUCAAACCACAACGGAAAGCGCCUUAUGCGCUAGUCAAGCAGUUCCCUAAGCCUCAACUGAAUUAAGACGCGACUCGUCCAACUACCUUCGGUUGGCUUCACCACCUGCGGAUAGCGACUAACUCGGUCGUGGCACAUAAUUUGUACGCUUCAGGUGUUUGGGCGUGACAGGGGUGCUUCGGGGAUAUAGGGAGGAGAAGGGGCGCCGGGGGAAUGGGGGGCUCUCUCUCUCUCUCCCUCUCUUUCAAGGAGCGGCCGCGCGGCUUGGGCGGCGUGGAAUGCUGCUGGCGCGCGGCCGGCGUGCGGCUUGGCUGUGUUCUUCUAUAGUGUAAGGCCUCUUGGAAGCGGGUCCCCUUUGUCGCUCUUUCACAGCACGUUCAUCCUGGUCAGCUUCGGCAGAGCCAUGAGAUCCAGGUUAAGGGGGACAGGAGCACGGAAAUGCAAUUCACCGCUGAUGAACCAAAAGCAUUAACCAGCUUAUACAGGCUUCCUACAGCACGAUGCUUUUGAGCAACGUGCAGGGUGAUUUAAGCGGCUGUUUAAGCAGGCCUUACAAACCUGCCCAUGCCCUCAGUACUGCAUAUCAAAUCAUUUAGUAACUUACUACCUUGCGCAUGCUACGCAUCACGCCCCAAAUGAGGCAUAAUUUGGUCUAAAUACGGGCGUGCACACAUGUCGCGCUUAUACUUGACAGAAGUGGCUAACGAAUUAAUGAAUAAAUAAAUGCGGGUAUUGCGGCACCAGCUAGUGCUGGCUGCCUAUGCAACUUAAUGGCGCGGUGGGCGCCAGCCUCUGCGAGCCUCAAAAGCUAAUAGGGGGCGGCCUCGUUGGAAGGAAUAAAUAUCUUGAGGAUGUGAGGAUAUCCAGGCAAGGACAAUCAUAACAAGGUGCUGAGUUUGUUGUUUACGUACCUCUGAUAAUGAACGUACUGACGGGCGCGUAAACAUACGCCAUACGCACGCGCAGUGUUCUCCAACACCCUUAUACGGCGUUCCAGCUGCUUGUCAGGCGCACUACUGCUGGUCAGGCGCCUCUGUGCCACCGAGAUAGACAGCUCUUCCUCAACCCUAAAAAUCACUGGAUUAAUAUUACAAUAAAUUGCUAUCUAUAGCUCAACAUGGUGUCAGGUUUCAACAGACGGAUGCCUUGGGGAAAAAGAAGGAAGACGUAUGCCCAACCGCAAGGAGCUGAAAAGGGCCCUGUAAGCGAAAGCCCUG
rnacentral:lncRNA from 1 species